CAUGUUAGAAGCUUUAAGUCGGAAGAACUGACCAAAUUUGACUUAUGUGUACAUGACCUCGGAUACGAGUUUUGAUGAUUCCGCUAGGUCCGGAUGGUAAUUUAGAUUUGGGUGUAUGCCUAGAUUUACAUUUGGAUAUUUCUAGAAUAUUUUGGCGCUAAUUGGUGAAAGUUGACAAUUUGAUGAUUUGGAAUGUUCAUAGGUUUGACCGGAAGUUGACUUCGAUGGUAUCAGGUUCUGAAUAUGGUUCCGGGAGUUGAAAUAGGUUCGAUAUGUUAUUUGGGACUUGUGUGAAAAUUUUA
rnacentral:lncRNA from 1 species